UCUCCGUUGGUGAACCAGCGGAGGGAUCAUUACAGAGUUUUCACAACUCCCAACCCUUGCGAACCGUACCCAUUCUGUUCUCGUUGCUUCCGGCGGGGGGGACGGGGGGGCCCGAAACGGCCUCCCCGCCCCGCCCGCCGGGGGCGGCGGGCCCUACGAACCUUUAUAUCUCAACCACCACAAACCGUCUGAGAAAACAAACAAAAUAAUCAAAACUUUCAACAACGGAUCUCUUGGCUCUG
rnacentral:misc_RNA from 1 species